UUGAAUAGAAAUUAUAACACGAUAAACUUAAUCUCAUAUUCAAAUAAUACAUAUGAAAUGUUCCUUACUAUGGAGGAGCACAUGAUGUGGUAUCACUAUGAUAAUAAUCAUAAAACCUCUUAGAGUCACAAUAAAAAUCUACUUCUCCGUCUCUACAUCUUCUUUCAAACUCCGACGGAGGAGUAUGAUCGUGAAAGUCUAUUGAUACUAAUAAAUAGUCAACACAUUCCCAAACACAAUCUUCUUCUACUGAUGGAGGGUAUGUUUUACACUUUGCUAAUGUCAUACUAGUCAUACACAUUAUGAAGAAAAACAUACAAGUCAGCUCUAAUAUCCUCAUCUGCAUACCAGACAUCCUCGUGUUUGUAUUUCCUGCAAAGAUAUAUAAUUACCCAAUAACGUUAAAAGUUUUAUAAGCACCUUUUCAGAAUUUGUAUAAACUAGAAUAUUACCACAUCAAUGUAGAUAUUCAAGAAAUCCUCUCAAAUAUAAAUAAUCCACACGUAAGCACGUGGACUAGCUUAAUUUUUGUUCUUAAUAUAAAUGUCGCUGUUGCUCUCAUUUUAUAUACAACUUACACGUUAGAAUACGUGAUGUGGCAAUUUUGCUAUUGAAAUUGCAAUGGGCAGCGUUUCAAAUACUGUUAUUGUAUAUGAACUGAAAAGACCGAUUAGAAGACAUUUUUAACCUAAAAUAUUCAAGUGUAUGGAAAUGGAGAUUGUUCCAAAUAUAGAAGCACUGUAUUAAGAACAAACACAAACAAACUAAUAAAUAAAAGGAGAAUAUAUAAAAUAUUCUUGCUUACCCCUUUCUUUUGAUAUCACAACAACGUUUUACCUUUUCCCAAGACAAGGUUGUAGCCUGUAGGAUAUAAAUAGAAAGAGCAAUUAAUAGUACUUUGACCUGUAACGCACGUUAUGGAUGAACAUACAUUUCAUUGAAUUUUUAAAGGCCGAAAAAGUUCAUUGUAUCGCUCCUUUCUUUUCACCCCGGCCCAAUCGUUUCGGUAGACAUUAAUGAAGUCUCAUUAAUUAAUAUGAGAAGAUAUUUGUUGACGGUUUAAUAAUUUUAUUGUCAAAGCUUACAGCCUCUUGCCAGUUAAGAAUUAGAGAAACCUUCUGGGAUUACUGGUAAAUUAUAUAAAUUACCAGUAGUAUUUUAAUAGGCGUUUGGGACGAAUCCUGGGGCGGGACGUAGUCAAAAUGCACGGGACAAAUUUGGGGGGCCACGAAGCUAGCUCCAUUGUUUUCAGCAUAAGCUUAGGCGUUACAUGCAAAAAAUUGCAGAAAUAAGAUACUUUUUGGAGUGGUCUUUAACUUUUGACCUGCUUGCCCUAUUAGUAGAACUUCAAGGUCAAAAGUUAAACGUGUAGCAUAUGGGACAAGCGAAGGGAUCGUGAUGGUGCUAAAAAACUGCUCUUUACACAACCAACACUUAACAAUAAAUAAGGACCUAGUUUAACAAGUAACAACAUAUUGAGGUCGAAUAAAAAUAAACUCAGUCACAUAUGAUAAAAAGUCUAAACCAUACGCCUUCUACAUAACCUCCCAAGAUUUGGUGCCACAGAGCAUAUGAGACACUAAAAUACUACAUAUAAGGUCUGAACAGAAAUGCAAUACUAUCUGAUACAAGAAAACAUCAAUAAAGAUAGGAAGGAGACUCCAGGAUCUGCGAACGUCAAGCAGUUGUAACGACCUGGCCGGUUGUUUUGAGUAUUGUAGUCCCGUUCUCUCAUUUAUUGCUUAUUCUAUAUCCAAUUAUGGUUAUGUGACUUGGUGGGUGGUUGGUUUGGUUUCUGGGAUAUUUUGGAAUGAAUUGGGACACUUAGUCCUAAGGUCGGAAGCUUAAGUUGAAAGAAUUGAUCGGAUAUUGACUUAUAGUAAAUGACUCUGAAAUGGAGUUUUGAUAGUUCUGAUAACUUGGUAUGGUGAUUUUGGACUUAGGAGUAUGUACGGAUAUUGAUUUGGAGGUUCAUAGUCAUUUUGGGUUUUAUUUGGCGAAAGUUGAAAUGUUGAAGGUUUGGAAAGUUGAGAAGUUUAACUGAAAGUUGGCUUUGUUGAUGUUGGGCUAAAUUUUUGGCUUCGGGAGUUGGAAUAGGUCCGUUAUGUUAUUUUAUGACUUAUGUGCAAAUUUUGAGUUCAAUCGGAGUUGGUUUGGUGUGCUUCGGCAUUGGUUUAAAAAGUUGGAAGUUCAAUAGUUCAUUAAACUUGAAUUGGGGUGCGAUUUGUGUUUUCGAUGUUGUUUGAUGUGAUUUGAGGCUUUGACUAAGUUCGUAUCGUAUUUUAGGACCUGUUGGUAUAUUUGCAUGGGGUCCCAGAGACCUCGAGUGUGAUUCGCAUCAUGUUAGGCUUAGUUUGGACUUGUUGGUCUGUGAAGUUGUUAUAUCUGGUUUCCUUAUACGCGUUCACGAAGGAGGUCUCGCGAUCGCAAAGAGUCUUUAAGCGACUGGUGAAGAUUGUGCUUUGCGUUCGCAAGAAAUGAGACGCGUUCGCGAAGGUUCUAGGUGAUUGUGCAUCGCGAACGCGUGAGGUAGGUCGUGUUCGCGAAGAAGGGAGGUCAAGCCCAGGGCGGCAUGUAAUUUGUUCAUCGUGAUUGCAUGGUCAGGACUGCGGUCGCGAAGCUAUGUGAUCUUAGUCAUCACGUUCGCAACUGGGUUGUUGCAUUCGCGUAAGAGGAAUUUUCAACUGAGAAAUUUUUGUGCUUCACGAACACGAGGCAAUUUCCGCAUUCGCGAAGAAGAGCACCUUGGCAGAAAAAUUAAAAUCCCAAAUCGUGAGUUAGAGUAUUAUUUCAUAUUUUGACUUGUGGAGCUCGGCUAGGGGCCAUUUUUUUGAGGUAUUUCACUACAAAUCAAGAGGUAAUUAACUUUUUAUCAUUUUUGUCCAACAAUAUGGAAUACCCAUUAAUUUCUACACCUAUAUUAUGUGUGUUUAAGGUAAAAUAUGGAGAAUUUUGGAGUAGGUAUUUGAGAGUAAGAUUUGGGGGUUUGAGGGUCGAUUUGUAGUUGGAAUUGAAUAAGUUUGGUAUGUUUGGACUCGUUAUUGAAUGGGUGUUCGAUUUUUAUGAAUUUUGUGAUAUUGUGUAGUUAUCUAGUCUUUUUUUAUCCGUGUAAUUUCUAUGUGCUAGAGAAGUUGAGUUGUGAUUCAUGUUAGAAAUUAUGUUUUGGCUAUGUGCUUAUUCUGUUGGAACCCACUAAUUAUGUAAUGACUCGGCCAGUCGUUUUGACAGUUAGAGCCUCGAUCCCCUAUUAACUGCUUCCCCCAUAUCUUUUUCUGCUAUUGUGACUUGCCGAAAGAUUCGUUUUGAGUUUCUGAGUGUUUUGGGACACUUAGUCCCUACAUGGGAGCUUAAGCCUUAAGAUUUGGAUUGUAGUCAGAACUGUGUGAAGAUGACUCCGGAAUGGAGUUCGAUGGAUUCUGUUAGCUCCAUUGGGUGAUUUUGGGCUAAGGGGCAUGCCCGGAUGAUAUUUUGGAGGUAUGUAGCUCAUUUAGGCUUGAAAUGGUGAAAUUCGAAUUUUUGGAAUUUCGGACCAGUAGUGGAAUUUUUUAUAUCAGGGUCGGAGUCUGAUUCCGAAAAUUGGAUUAGGUCCAUAUGGUUGGAUAUGACUUGUGUGCAAAAUUUGGGGUCAAUCGAACGUGGUUACGUUAGUUUCGGCAUCAGUUGUAGAAUUUUGAAUUUUCAAGUUCAUUAGGGUUGGAUUGGAGGAUGAAUUGUGUUUUUAUCGUUGUUUGAUGUGAUUUGAGGGCUCGACUAAGUUCGUAUGAUGUUUAGGAUUGGGUGGUAUAUUUGGUUGAGGUCCCAGGGGCCUCGGGUGAGUUUCGGGUGCUUAAUGGAUUGGUUUGAGACUUAUGCAAUUUGCUGAAGUUGAUGCACCUAGUGUUUUCGCACAUGCGCACUUUAGGUCGCAGGUGCGGAGCCACAGAAGCGGAAUUGGGCCUAGUCCAGCUGGGUCCGCAUAUGUAGUAAGGAAUCCACAGAAGCAGAGGCGCAGAAGCGGUUGUGAACAGCAGGAGCGGGCUCGCAGGUGCGGCCUAGUGCUCGCAGAAGCGGUUCCAGCCCACUUAAAGUGAAUUCUGCACCUGUGAUGGAAUUCCCAUCGGUGUGGCGCCGCAGGUACGAUGAAGGUUUCGCGGGUGCGGUUUGCCUAGCAGAAAAAGAGAGAAUUCGAGGGUUUGAUUUCAUUCCCUAAUUUUGGACCUAGAGAGCUCGGAUUGAGGCGAAAUUUCGAGGGAUUUUGCGAGGAAACUUGUGGGUAACGAUUCCUUACUCGAUUUAGUUACAUUUCAUUAAUCUAUUGUUGUUUUCUUCAUUUAAACAAGGAAUUUGGUUGAGAAAGUUGGGAAAAUGGGAGAAAAGUUCCCCAAUCAAAUUUUUGAGUUUUGAGUGGGAUUUUGACAUCAGAUUUGGAUAAUUUUGUUAUGAGUGAACUCGUGAGUGAAUGGGUGUUCAUAAUUUGUGUUUGUUACCUGAUUCCAAGACGUGGGCCCUUUUGGAAGCUUUUUGGGAGUUUUUCUACUUUCUUGCCUUAGCCUUGAUUGCAUUAGCUAAAUUAGUUACUUGUAGCUAUAUUCAUGUUAUGUAAUUGAUUUGUAUAUAUUUAGGCCAUCUAGAGCCGGAUAUUCGCGGCAAGAGCAUUGUUUCAGGUAGAUUUGAGCUUGGUUCGGGGUAAGUGGCUUACCUAACCUUGUGUGGGGGAAAUCCCCUAGGAUUUUUGGUACUGUUUGAUAUAUGAGCGCCGUGUAUGUGAGGUGACGAGUACGUACACGGGCUAUUUGUUGUAAAAAUCAUUUUUCCACUAAGCCUUAACCUGAUUUUCCCUGUUUGAACUACACUAGCAUAUGGAAUUGUCGUGUUUAGCUUAGAAAAGCAUGCCUACGUGUUUUAACUGUCUAUUUGAAAUCUGUGCAACAUGUCUAGUGAAAUUUCCUAUUUUCAUUGACGUGAACUUAGUCUAAACUGUAGAUUUCCUUGCUAUAACUGUUGUUUAUUUUGGUUGAGCUGCAUAUUUAUUUUUGGACUACAGAACGGUAUUCUGGGAGAUCCCCCUGUACUGCAUAUUUACUUUGGGACUAUAGAAUGGUAUUUCGAGAGAUCCCCCAGCACUGCAUAUUUACUUUGGGACUAUGGAAUGGUAUUUCGGGAGAUCCCCCUGCACAUUUAUGUUUGGGACUACGGGACGGUAUCCCGGAAAAUCCCCUUAUUGUUAUUACUGUGUCCUGAGCUGUUGGUUUUUAUUGGACUUUAUUCCUGUUAGAUUUCUGUAUAUAUUUAUUGUAAUACUUCUUUCUAUCUUAUUUCAAUUAUUCACACUAGUAGGGCCCUGACCUGAUCUCGUCACUACUCGACCGAGGUUAGGCUUGGCACUUACUGGGUACUGUUGUGGUGUAUUCAUGUCCUUUCCUGCACAUUUUUUUCAUGUGGAGAUCCAGGUACCGCACAUCAAUCGCAUUACCAUUGAGGCGAGCCAGCUGUAGAGACUUCAAGGUAUAUUUUCCGUGUCAACAGACCUCGAAGUCCCUAUCUAUUCCACCCCAUGACUAACACUUCGUGUAUUUUACUUCUUUUAUUAGACUCUGGAGUAUGAGAGUAUUGUUUCUUUCUUUAGCUUGUGACUUAUGACAUUCCAUGUUUUGGGAGAGUUUAUGUACUGUUCAGAAGUGAUUAAUGUAUACGCCAAGCGGCAUCUCAUUUGCUUGUUUAAAUUUACUUAUUAAUUGAUAGCUUUUAUGUUUUCAUCCCUUUAUCCGCAAAAUGUUAGGCUUACCUAGUCAUGGAAACCAGGUGCCGUCACGAUGGUUCACGGAGGGAGAACUUGUGUCGUGACAAGUUGGUAUUAGAGCUCUAGGUUCAUAGGAGUCGUGAGUUACAAGCUGGUUUAUUAGAGUCUCGCGGAUCAGUAUGGAGACGUCUGUACUUUUCUUCGGGAGGCUAUGAAACUGUUAGGAAAAAUUCCACUUCAUUUGAUUCCUUGUCGUGUGAGAUUAUUGACUUCGAAAUUCUAAACUUCUGUCUUCUAUUAUCUCACAGAUGGUGAGGACACGUGCUACCGGAGAUGACUAGGCACCCACGCCCCUUGAUGGAGCCACCCGAGGCCGGGGCAGGGGUAGAGGCCUCGGAGGUGCACAUGGUGCAGCCAGAGCACCCGUGUGAGAUGCUGUAGAGGAGACACCAUUAGCUCUAGUCGGAGCACAGGCACCUGAUAUGCCUACUACUGUUACUCCAGCUCAUAAGAGAUCCUCACGUAGUUCAUGAGAAUGUACAACACUCUAGCUCAGGCAAGGUUGAUUCCCCUUGCUGCAGCCACAUCUCAGGCCGGGGGAGGAGUAGAGGCUCCCGCCGCUCGCACUCCAGAGCAACGAGUUCAGGUUGAUCAGAUCCCAUAGGUUAUACCGGUACCGCCUUUAGCCCCAGUUCAGCCUAAGGGUAGGGCAGCAGCUUCAGAAGAGGAGGAGCGAAGGCUUGAUAGGUACAAAAAGUAUAAAAUUCCUACAUUCAGUAGUCUAGCAUCAGAGGAUGCUCAGGGAUUUCUAGAGGAGUGCCACCGUAUACUUCGCAGUAUGGGCAUAGUAGAGUCGAGUGGGGUUUCUUUCACUGCCUUUCAGCUUCAAGGGGCAGCCUAUCAGGGGUGGCAUACUUAUAAGUUGGACAGUCAGGCUGAGGCAGUUUUCCUUUCAUAGAUUUAGCGCUCUGGCAUGUUUUUGAGAAAGUAUGUCCCUUGGGGCCUCAAAGAUGCAUAGCGUGCGGAGUUUGAGUAGUUGCACCAGGGUACAAUGACUAUUUCAAAGUAUGCAAUUCGUUUCAGUGACUUGGCUAGACAUGCAUCGGCCUUGGUUUCUAUAGUUCGAGAAAGGGUUCGCCGAUUUAUUGAGGGACUCAUUCCCAGCAUUAGGACUAGCAUGGCCCGAGAGCUUGAGAUGGAUAUCUCGUAUCAGCAGGUCAUGAGUAUUGCUAGGAAAGUAGAGAGCAUGCUUACUCGGGAUAGGGAGGAGAGAGAGGCCAAGAGGUCUCAAGAGUCGGGCCAUUAUUCUGGUGCUCGUGCCCUAGUUGAAGUUCGUCAUGGUAGGGGUUAUGUGAGUCGCCCCGUUCAUUCAGCUCUUCCAGCACCCAGUGGUAUUCCAGCUCCUCCUAGACCUUUGGAGCCUUAUUAUGCACCUCCAAUAUCUAGUGUGCCUCCUACACGAGGUGCCAUCAGCGGUUAGUCCAGCAAACCUGGCCCGAGUCAGUCACAGCCACCACGUCCUCUCAAAGCUUGUUUGAGUGUGGAGGCACUCGCCAUAUGGUGAGGGAUUUCACCAAACUUAGGAGUGGUGCACCUCCACAGACUUCUCAGCCACAGCAUGCUCCACCAGGUCCUCAGGCUAUGAUUAUAGCACCAGCUGCCACCCCACCUGCUCAGCCAGCCCGAGGUGGAGGUCGGGGUGGUAGAGGUCGCCCUAGAGGGGAGGCUAGGCUAGAUACUAUGCCCUUCCUGCUCGUACAGAGGUUGUUGCUUCUGAUUCUAUCAUUACAGGUAUUGUCCCAGCAUGUCAUAUAGAUGCAUCGGUUUUAUUCGAUCCAAGCUCCACUUAUUCUUAUGUGUAAUCUUAUUUUGCCCCACAUUUGGGCGUAUUUUGGGAUUCUUUGAGUUCCCCUGUUUACGUAUAUACCCCUAUGGGAGAUUCUCUUAUUUUGGACCACGUUUAUCGGUCGUGUUUGAUCACUCUUAGUGGUUUUGAGACCAGAGCCGACUUAUUAAUGCUCAGCAUGGUAGAUUUUGAUGUUAUCUUAGGCAUGGACUGGUUGCCACCCCAUUAUUCUAUUCUUGAUUGUCAUGCCAAAAUCGUGACGCUUUCUAUGCCAAGUUUACCACGAUUAGAAUGGAGGGGUACCUUAGAUUACACUCCCAGCAGGGGUAUUUUAUUUCUUAAAGCUCAGUGAAUGGUUGAGAAAGGGUGUGACACGUAUCUAGCCUAUGUGAGAGAUGUCAGUAUUGAUACCCCUACAGUUGAUUCAGUCCCAGUAGUGAGGGAUUUCCCUUAUGUGUUUCUAGCUGAUCUUCCGGGCAUGCCGCACGACACAGAUAUUAAUUUUGGCAUUGAUUUGUUGCGGGGCACUCAUCACAUAUCUAUUCCUCCUUAUCAUAUGGCCCCUCCUAAGUUGAAGGAGUUGAAGGAAGAGUUGCAGGAAUCGCUUGAUAAUGGCUUCAUUCGGCCUAGUGUGUCGCCUUAGGGUGUUCCUAUCUUGUUUGUGAAGAAAAAGGAUGGUUCUAUGCGUAUGUGCAUUGAUUAUCGUCUGUUGAACAAAGUUACAGUGAAGAAUCGGUAUCCUUUGUCUCAUAUUGAUGAUCUAUUUGAUCAGUUACAAGGUGCCCGAGUGUUUUCCAAGAUUGAGUUGUGUUCCAGUUAUCAUCAGUUGAAGAUUCGGGAGCUAGAUAUCCCGAAAACUGCAUUCAGGACUCGGUAUGGUCAUUACGAGUUCCUUAUUAUGUCAUUUGGGCUAACCAACGCCCCAGCAGCAUUAAUGUACUUGAUGCACAGUGUAUUUCGGCCUUAUCUCAACUCGUUCAUCAUUGUCUUUAUUGAUGACAUUCUGGUGAACUCCCGAAGUCGGGAAGAUCAUGAGAAGCACCUGAGGACGGUGCUUCAGACCUUGAGAGAAAAGAAAUUAUAUGCAAAGUUCUCAAAAUGUGAGUUCUGGUUAGAUUUCGUGGCAUUCUUAGGUCAUGUGGUAUCGAGUGAAGGGAUCAAGGUGGACCCGAAGAAAGUGGAAGCAGUGUAGAGUUGGCCCGGACCAUCCUUAGCUAAAGAUAUUCAGAGUUUCCUAGGUUUGGCGAGAUAUUAUCGUCGAUUUGUUGAGGGGUUCUUGUCUAUUGCACUGCCUAUGACCAGGCUAACCCAGAAGGGUGCUCUGUUCAGGUGGAUGGAAGAGUGUGAGGAUAGCUUUAUGAAGCUCAAGAUAUCUCUUACUACAGCCCCAGUAAUGGUAUUGCCUUCAGGUUUGGGGUCUUAUACAGUUUAUUGUGCUGCGUCGCGAGUUGGCCUCGGCGUGGUGUUGAUGCAGGACCGUAGGGUGAUUGCCUACGCAUCCAGACAGCUGAAGGUACAUGAAAAGAACUACCAUGUACAUGACUUUGAGUUAGCUACUAUUGUUCAUGCCUUGAAGAUUUGGAGGCACUAUUUGUAUGGUGUCCCUUGUGAGAUCUACACUGAUCACCGGAGUUUGCAACAUCUAUUUAAGAAGAAGGAUCUUAAUUUGCGUCAUAAGAGGUGGUUAGAGCUGCUUAAGGAUUAUGAUAUCACCAUUUUGUUCCACCCGGGAAAGGCCAAUGUGGUGGCCAAUGCUUUGAGUCGUCGGGCAGAGAGUUUGGGGAGUUUAGCUUAUCUAUCAGCGGCAGAGAGGCCCAUGUUGUUAGAUGUUCAAGCCUUAGCUAGCCAGUUUGUGAGAUUGGAUAUUUUUUAGCCUAGUCGAGUAUUGUCUUGUGUAGUCUCUUGGUUUUCUCUUUAUGAUCGUAUCAGGGAGCGUCAGUAUGAUGAACCCCAUCUGUUUGUCCUUAGGACAUGGUCCAGCACAGUGAUGCCAAGGAGGUCACUAUUGGGGAUGAUGGUGUAUUAAGGAUGCAGGGCAGGCUAUGUGUGCCUAAUGUAGAUGGGUUGCGAGUUGAUUCUUCAGGAGGCUCAUAGCUCACGGUACUCUACUCAUCUGGGUGCCGCGAAGAUGUAUCAGGACUUGAGGCAGCAUUAUUGGUGGCGUAGAAUGAAGAAAUAUAUAGUGGAGUAUAUUGUUCGGUGUCUAAAUUGCCAGCAGGUGAAGUAUGAGCAUCAGCGACCGGGUGGGUUGCUUUAGAAGUUAGAUAUUCCGGAGUGGAAGUGGGAGCAGAUCACCAUGGAUUUUGUUGUUGGACUCCCAUGGACUCAGUGGAAGUUUGAUGUAGUUUGGGUGAUUGUGGAUAGGCUGACCAAGUCAGCUCAUUCCUUUUUGUGAUGACUACCUAUUCUUCUGAGCAGUUGGCUCGAUUUUAUAUCCGUGAGAUUGUCAUAUUUCAUGGCGUGCCGGUGUCUAUCAUCUCUGACCGGAGCACGCAGUAUACAUUACGAUUCUAGAGAGUUGUACAGUAGAAGUUAGAUACUCGGGUGGAGCUGAGCACAACAUUUCACCCUUAGACAGACGGGCAGUCCGAGCGCACUAUUUAGAUACUUGAGGAUAUGCUCCGUGCGUUUGUGAUGAGUUUGGGGAUUUUUGGGAUCAGUUCUUUCCCCUUGCAGAGUUUGCCUACAACAAUAAUUAUCAGUCUAGCAUUCAGAUGGCACUGUAUAAGGCUCUGUAUGGUAGGCGGUGUCAGUCCCCAGUGGGUUGGUUUGAGCCGGGCGAGGCCAGAUUGUUGGGUAGGGACAUAGUUAAGGAUGCCUUGGAGAAGGUUAAGGUGAUUCAGGAUAGACUUCGUACAGCCCAGUCCAAACAGAAGAGUUAUGCAGACCGGAAGGUUCGCGAUGUGGCAUUCAUGGUCGGAGAGCGGGUCUUGCUCCGGGUUUCGCCUAUAAAAGUCGUUAUGAGGUUCGGAAAGAAGGGCAAGCUGAGCCCGAUGUUUAUUGGUCCUUUUGAGGUGUUGCGGCAUAUUGGGGAGGUUGCUUAUGAGCUUGCCUUACAUCCUUGCCUAGCAGGAGUCCAUCCGGUAUUUCAUGUUUCGAUGCUCCGGAAGUAUUACGGUGAUCCGUCUCACGUGUUGUAUUUCAGCUCAGUCCAGUUGGACAAGGAUCUAUCUUAUGUUGAGGAGCCCGUGGCUAUAUUGGACAGGCAGGUUCGAAAGCUGAGGUCAAAGAACAUUGCAUCACUAAAGGUUCAGUGGCGGGGUCAGCCAGUCGAGGAGGCGACUUGGGAGACUGAGCAAGAUAUGCAUAGACGUUACCCUCAUCUUUUUACCAUUUCAGGUAUGUCUCUAUGCUCGUUAGAGGACGAAUAUUUAUUUUAAGUAGGGAAGGAUUUAAUGACCCGGCCGAUCGUUUUGAGAGUUAGAACCCCGAUCCCCUAUUAACUACUCCCCCUCUAUCUUUUACGCUAUUGUGACUUGCCGGAAAGAUUCAUUUUGAGUUUCAGAGUGUUUUGGGACACUUAGUCUCUAAAUGGGAGCUUAAGUCUUAAGAUUUAGACCGUAGUCGGAACUUUCUAAAGAUGACUCCAGAAUGGAGUUCUGUCGAUUCUGUUAGCUCCGUUGGUGAUUUUGGGCUUAGGGGCACACCCGGAUGAUGUUUUGGAGGCCAGUAGCUCAUUUAGGCUUGAAAUGGCGAAAGUCAAAUUUUUGGAGUUUCCGACCGAUAGUGAAAUUUUUUAUAUCGGGGUCGAAAUCCGAUUUCGAAAGUUGGAGUAGGUCCGUAAGGUUGGAUAUGACUUGUGUGCAAAAUUUGGGGUCAUUGCACAUGUAUAAAUGGGUGAAAUACAUGAAAAAUACGUAAAAAUAUCAAUAUUCCUUCCGGAUAAACUUUUUCAACUGCGUAUUUUUCUGAGACCUAUGAACAGAAGAUAAUAAUAAUUCACAUGGGGAAUCAAGAAUAUAGACACCCCUAGUAUUUCUAUGAAGAAAGUAAUUUGUGGAAACUGUGCGUUUGCUCGUUUCUUCAGUAUAAUGUGGACUAUGCCAAAAGAAAGAAGGGAUGACCUUAACAUACCUGGAGUAGGGAAAACUCCGUAUAAUAUUCUGUUGAAAACCUUCGUGGAUUGAACUUAGAACCCCAAAAAUCGGAUUAAGCUUCUGCUUUUUUGAAAUUUUUGACGAAAUUAGCUUUUGCUUCUUGAAAUUUUUGACGAAAUUAGCUUGGGGUCAGAACGUCUCCUUACAUUUAAGUGUUAGCAUCUGUUUCUGAAGGGUUUUGCUUUAGGA
rnacentral:lncRNA from 1 species